AAAGGAAUUGACGGGGACCCGCACAAGCAGUGGAGCGCCUGGUUUAAUUCGAUGAUCAACGAAAAACCUCACCUGGGCUUGAACCGUAGCUGCAAACUUGAUGAAAGUCGAGAAUCCUUCGAGGGUGCUAUAGAGGUGCUGCAUGGCUGUCGUCAGCUCGUGUCGUGAGAUGUAGGGUUAAGUCCCGUAACGAGCGCAACCCCUAUCUAGUGUUAUAUAUUUCGCUAGAGACUGCCCCGCCUAAACGGGGAGGAAGGAGGGGAUGACGUCCAGUCAUCAUAUCCCUUAUGUCCAGGGCUACACAGACGCUACAAUGGGUAAUACAAUGGGUUGCCAAACCGCGAGGUGGAGCUAAUCCCAUCAAAAUUAUCCUCAGUUCAGAUUGCAGGCUGAAACUCGCCUGCAUGAAGUCGGAAUUGCUAGUAAUCGCGCAUCAGCGUGGCGCGGUGAAUACGUUCUCGGGUCUUGUACACACCGCCCGU
rnacentral:rRNA from 1 species